CAGAUUGGACCUUCUUCAUCCUCUGGGUUGUUUCUGAACUAGCCUCACCAUGCUAGUGUGUCAUCACAGGGCAGCACAGGGGGCCGUACCGCUGUGGGGCGGAGGUGUUGUGGCUAAACAAGAAGCCUUGUUAAUAAAAGUGUUGAUGUGGCGCUAUAGUGGCCUGUAUCCUCCUCCUUUCAGACUGGGCUUUCACACAGGGAGAGGUUGUGCAGUGGGAAUAACUUUAAAUAAACAUUCAAAGUCAUUACUA